ACCCAGCUGGCUCAGUCAGUAGAGCAUGCAACUCUUAAUCUCGGGGUUAUGAGUUCAAGUCCCAUGUUGGGUA
rnacentral:tRNA from 1 species